rnacentral:rRNA from 1 species
GAUGAACGCUGGCGGCGUGCCUAAUACAUGCAAGUCGAACGAAACUUCUUUAUCACCGAGUGCUUGCACUCACCGAUAAAGAGUUGAGUGGCGAACGGGUGAGUAACACGUGGGCAACCUGCCCAAAAGAGGGGGAUAACACUUGGAAACAGGUGCUAAUACCGCAUAACCAUAGUUACCGCAUGGUAACUAUGUAAAAGGUGGCUAUACUACCGCUUUUGGAUGGGCCCGCGGCGCAUUAGCUAGUUGGUAGGGUAAAGGCUUACCAAGGCAAUGAUGGGUAGCCGAAUUGAGAGGUUGAUCGGCCACAUUGGGACUGAGACACGGCCCAAACUCCUACGGGAGGCAGCAGUAGGGAAUCUUCCACAAUGGGCGAAAGCCUGAUGGAGCAACGCCGCGUGGGUGAAGAAGGUCUUCGGAUCGUAAAACCCUGUUGUUAGAGAAGAAAGUGCGUGAGAGUAACUGUUCACGUUUCGACGGUAUCUAACCAGAAAGCCACGGCUAACUACGUG